CUUCGGCAAUGGGCGAAAGCCUGACCGAGCGACACCGCGUGGAGGACGAAGCCCUUCGGGGUGUAAACUCCUUUUCGGAGGGACGAAUAAGGUCAUCAGGCAAUGGGUGACCGAUGACGGUACCUCCGGAACAAGGGACGGCUAACUCUGUGCCAGCAGCCGCGGUAAGACAGAGGUCCCGAGCGUUAUCCGGAAUCACUGGGCGUAAAGGGCGUCUGGGCGGCUCCGUGUGUCGUGCGUGAAAGCGCCCGGCUCAACCGGGAGAGGUCGGGCGAAACUGCGGAGCUUGAGGGCUGGAGGGGGAAGUGGAACUGUCGGAGUAGCGGUGAAAUGCGCAGAUACCGACAGGUACCUCGAUAGCGAAGGCAGCUUCCUGGCCAGACCCUGACGCUGAAGCGCGAAAGCAUGGGGAGCGAACC
rnacentral:rRNA from 1 species